rnacentral:rRNA from 1 species
UACAGAGGUCUCAAGCGUUGUUCGGAUUCAUUGGGCGUAAAGGGUGCGUAGGCGGCGCGGUAAGUCGGGUGUGAAAUCUUGGAGCUUAACUCCGAAACUGCAUUCGAUACUGCCGUGCUUGAGGACUGGAGAGGAGACUGGAAUUUACGGUGUAGAGGUGAAAUGCGUAGAUAUCGUAAGGAAGACCAGUGGCGAAGGCGGGUCUCUGGACAGUUCCUGACGCUGAGGCACGAAGGCCAGGGGAGCAAACGGG